UACGUAGGGUGCAAGCGUUAUCCGGAAUUAUUGGGCGUAAAGAGCUCGUAGGCGGUUUGUCGCGUCUGCUGUGAAAUCUGGGGGCUCAACCCCCAGCCUGCAGUGGGUACGGGCAGACUAGAGUGCGGUAGGGGAGAUUGGAAUUCCCGGUGUAGCGGUGAAAUGCGCAGAUAUCGGGAAGAACACCCGUGGCGAAGGCGGUUCUCUGGGACGGUACUGACGCUGAGACGCGAAAGCGUGGGGAGCAAACAGG
rnacentral:rRNA from 1 species